rnacentral:pre_miRNA from 1 species
GUAUUACCAUGAGUUCCCUUGAAACACUUUACGAAGCACCUUUCUGAGAGCUUAUGUGAAGUGUUUGGGGGAACUCUCAGUGCAAU